rnacentral:rRNA from 1 species
UACGAAGGGGGCUAGCGUUGUUCGGAUUUACUGGGCGUAAAGCGCACGUAGGCGGAUUGUUAAGUCGGGGGUGAAAUCCUGGAGCUCAACUUCAGAAUUGCCUUCGAUACUGGCUUUCUAGAGGCUGGAAGAGGUUAGUGGAAUUCCCAGUGUAGAGGUGAAAUUCGUAGAUAUUCGCAAGAACACCAGUGGCGAAGGCGGCUCUCUGGUCCGGUACUGACGCUGAGGUGCGAAAGCGUGGGGAGCAAACAGG